rnacentral:lncRNA from 1 species
GGAGUGGCCAUCACUGAACCUGAGGACGAGGGGCGGAUACGGUCAGCUGCCUCCGCUCUGCUGCUCACACGUACUCUUGAGCUUGUGAUACCAGCUGGAUGAAAGCUUCGUUCUUGCCCCGCGGCGUCCCGCUGUUCCAUUGCCUCAACCAGACACUGUGAUGGUCAAAAGGUCAACGUUUGGCAUUAGACGGGACUGAAUCAGACGCCUGUGGAUGCUUUAGGUUUAGAAUUAAGGAUGAAAUAGAAGACGAAAGGCCGAGGAAGAUGAAGAAGAAGUAGAAGAAAACUGUUCC